rnacentral:rRNA from 1 species
UACGUAGGGUGCAAGCGUUGUCCGGAAUUAUUGGGCGUAAAGAGCUCGUAGGCGGUUUGUCGCGUCUGCUGUGAAAAUCCAGGGCUUAACCCUGGACCUGCAGUGGGUACGGGCAGACUAGAGUGCGGUAGGGGAGGUCGGAAUUCCUGGUGUAGCGGUGAAAUGCGCAGAUAUCAGGAGGAACACCGGUGGCGAAGGCGGAUCUCUGGGCCGUAACUGACGCUGAGGAGCGAAAGCAUGGGGAGCGAACAGG